GGACGAUAAUGACGGUACUUUAGGAGGAAGCUCCGGCUAACUACGUGCCAGCAGCCGCGGUAAUACGUAGGGAGCGAGCGUUGUCCGGAAUUACUGGGUGUAAAGGGAGCGUAGGCGGGAGUGCAAGUCAGAUGUGAAAUGCAUGGGCUUAACCCAUGAGCUGCAUUUGAAACUGCAUUUCUUGAGUGAAGUAGAGGUAAGCGGAAUUCCUGGUGUAGCGGUGAAAUGCGUAGAUAUCAGGAGGAACACCGGUGGCGAAGGCGGCUUGCUGGGCUUUUACUGACGCUGAGGCUCGAAAGCGUGGGUAGCAAACAGGAUUAGAUACCCUGGUAGUCCACGCUGUAAACGAUGAUUACUAGGUGUGGGGGGACUGACCCCUUCCGUGCCGCAGUUAACACAAUAAGUAAUCCACCUGGGGAGUACGGCUGCAAGGUUGAAACUCAAAGGAAUUGACGGGGGCCCGCACAAGCAGUGGAGUAUGUGGUUUAAUUCGAAGCAACGCGAAGAACCUUACCAGGUCUUGACAUCGUAUGCAUAGUCUAGAGAUAGAUGAAACCUCUUCGGAGGCAUAUAGACAGGUGGUGCAUGGUUGUCGUCAGCUCGUGUCGUGAGAUGUUGGGUUAAGUCCCGCAACGAGCGCAACCCUUACCUUUAGUUGCUACGCAAGAGCACUCUAAAGGGACUGCCGUUGACAAAACGGAGGAAGGUGGGGAUGACGUCAAAUCAUCAUGCCCCUUAUGACCUGGGCUACACACGUACUACAAUGGCAAUCAACAAAGAGAAGCAAGACAGUGAUGUGGAGCGAAUCUCAAAAAAUUGUCCCAGUUCACAUUGC
rnacentral:rRNA from 1 species